rfam:Clostridium cadaveris strain NLAE-zl-G419 genome assembly, contig: Ga0070261_104
AGCAGAGUAGGCUUAUAAGCGUGAAGUGUUUGGUAGACGGGGAGUUGUUACCAAAACGAAAAGUAAACAAGUGCUUGCGAUUUAUUUGCCGCAUCCCGCUGUG